rnacentral:rRNA from 1 species
UACGUAGGGUGCAAGCGUUGUCCGGAAUUAUUGGGCGUAAAGAGCUCGUAGGCGGUCUGUCGCGUCGGCUGUGAAAACUCGGGGCUCAACCCCGAGCUUGCAGUCGAUACGGGCAGGCUAGAGUUCGGCAGGGGAGACUGGAAUUCCCGGUGUAGCGGUGAAAUGCGCAGAUAUCGGGAGGAACACCAAUGGCGAAGGCAGCUCGCUGGGACGGUAUGACGCUGAGGCGCGAAAAGCGGUGGG